rnacentral:rRNA from 1 species
AAUAUUGGGCAAUGGGCGAAAGCCUGACCCAGCAACGCCGCGUGAGGGAAGAAGGCCUUCGGGUUGUAAACCUUUGUCCUUGGGGAAGAAAUAAAUGACGGUACCCAAGGAGGAAGCUCCGGCCAACUACGUCCCAGCAGCCGCGGUAAUACGUAGGGAGCGAGAGUUGUCCGGAAUUGAUUGGCGUAAAGGGUGCGUAGGCGGCUAGGCAAGUAAGAUGUGAAAUCCCCGGGCUUAGAUCGGAUGGUAGAUUUGAAACUGCUUAGCUUGGGGGCAAGGGAGGAAAGCGGAAUUCCUAGUGUAGCGGUGAGAUACGUAGAUAUUAGGAGGAACACCAGUGGCGAAGGCAGCUUUCUGGACUGUAACUGACGCUGAGGCACGAAAGCGUGGGGAGCAAAC